rnacentral:rRNA from 1 species
UACGUAGGGACCGAGCGUUGUCCGGAAUCAUUGGGCGUAAAGAGCGUGUAGGCGGCUAUUUAAGUCCUGCGUGAAAUCCUGCGGCUCAACCGCAGACGGUCGUGGGAAACUGGAUGGCUAGAGUGCGGGAGAGGAGAGUGGAAUUCCCGGUGUAGCGGUGAAAUGCGCAGAUAUCGGGAGGAACACCUGUGGCGAAAGCGGCGCACUGGACCACAACUGACGCUGAGGCGCGAAAGCUAGGGGAGCAAACAGG